rnacentral:lncRNA from 1 species
UUUCUCCGUUUGGAACAAAGACUAGACGUUUGGUUUUUUGGACAGACCAACAAAGCAAAGAGAAUGAGAUGCAGAACUGAACAGGGAAAUUAGGAACAGGAUGCCAUGGGCAACACAGGGAGCAGAUGUGUAAAGGGGGACAGUGCAACAGGGGAGGACACUGGGCCUAGGAACCAGUGAAAUGGAACAGAGGAGGUGAGAGGAAAAGGGGGACUGAUCUGUCACAAAAAUAGGGUGAGACCUGGGCAAACAAACUGUGGUAGGGAUUUGAGAUUGCAAGACCCAUCUUCAAAGGCUAUUUCUCCCAAGUAGUACCGUACUUUCGGCUCUUAGUGGAAUAUUAUAGGCUUUAUCUUUCAUCCUUAUGUGUGCAGUGUAUUUCAAUUUAUUACAAAGAUGGAAUGUUUCAUUUGUUGUAGUUUAUAUGUGCUAUGCACAUGUGUUUGCAACAGUGCAAGCAGGUUUAUGAUACACCUGCUUUUGCUUUUUCCUUAGGGAAAAAUGUUCUUACCUUCUUUCAAGCAGAACUCUGAAGUGACAGAAGCUACAAUCCAAACCUCCUGGGAAGCAAAUACAAAAAAAAUAAGGAAAUCUCUGCACUCUCAUUGUAUGCAGUCAAGAUGUGCCAUUCGUCCACCACCUCCAGCUCAAGCCAAGAGUAAAGCAUAG